UAUGCUUUUGUUUUGACAAUAGAGCACAAAUAGUGUUUUGACCAUAACUCAUUUUUCUUUGAUAUAAAACUCAUUUUUAAUCUAUAGAGCAAAGAGAACUUUCUUGUUUCCAACCUUCUCGGUACGCUAAACACUAAGGAUUAAUCCCCUAUUUCAGAAUUUUAUCAAGAUCUUAAGAUUAGUGGAGGGAGAAUUAAAUAUGAAGGGAAGUGGAACCAAAGUAGUAAGUACUACAAGGCCUGAACAAUACUCUCACCAAACAAUCAAUGGAGUUCGAAUUCAACGCCGGUAAUAACCAUGCAUAAUACAAAGUCUUGAUUCUUGGAAUGACUUACUUAAGGGAAAGUGUUGAUUCUCAAUUUGUAACCAGUCAAGUCAUCGGUGAAUACCAAACCAAAUAGACACAACUAAUAAAGUAUAUGCAGAAAGUUCAAAAACUGACGAAACAUUUAAGUUUGUUCUAACCAAAUAGUGCAUGUUUUACUGACAAUUUGCAUAUCAAACAUCUUCAUAAAUGAUAAGAAUUGAAAGAAGAUGAAUGUCUCAUUGUAGUUUUGUGUUAAAAAAUAUCUUCAACUAGGCCUGGCUUUUCUUCAAAUGAAAGCCUCAUGUAUGAUA